UGGGGAAUAUUGGACAAUGGGGGCAACCCUGAUCCAGCAAUGCCGCGUGAGUGAAGAAGGCCUUCGGGUUGUAAAACUCUUUUGUCAGGGACGAUGAUGACGGUACCUGACGAAUAAGCUCCGGCUAACUUCGUGCCAGCAGCCGCGGUAAUACGAAGGGAGCUAGCGUUGUUCGGAAUGACUGGGCGUAAAGGGCGCGUAGGCGGUUUUAUAAGUUUGGUGUGAAAGCCCUGGGCUCAACCUAGGAAUAGCAUUGAAUACUGUAGAACUAGAGGCCGAGAGGGGGAAAUGGAAUUGCGAGUGUAGAGGUGAAAUUCGUAGAUAUUCGCAAGAACACCGGUGGCGAAGGCGGUUUCCUGGCUCGGUACUGACGCUAAGGCGCGAAAGCGUGGGGAGCAAACAGGAUUAGAUACCCCGGUAGUCC
rnacentral:rRNA from 1 species